GUAACCUGCGGAAGGAUCGAUUACCGAGUGAGGGCCCUCUGGGUCCAACCUCCCACCCGUGUUUAUUUUACCUUGUUGCUUCGGCGGGCCCGCCUUAACUGGCCGCCGGGGGGCUUACGCCCCCGGGCCCGCGCCCGCCGAAGACACCCUCGAACUCUGUCUGAAGAUUGUAGUCUGAGUGAAAAUAUAAAUUAUUUAAAACUUUCAACAACGGAUCUCUUGGUUCCGGCAUCGAUGAAGAACGCAGCGAAAUGCGAUACGUAAUGUGAAUUGCAAAUUCAGUGAAUCAUCGAGUCUUUGAACGCACAUUGCGCCCCCUGGUAUUCCGGGGGGCAUGCCUGUCCGAGCGUCAUUUCUGCCCUCAAGCACGGCUUGUGUGUUGGGCCCCGUCCUCCGAUCCCGGGGGACGGGCCCGAAAGGCAGCGGCGGCACCGCGUCCGGUCCUCGAGCGUAUGGGGCUUUGUCACCCGCUCUGUAGGCCCGGCCGGCGCUUGCCGAUCAACCC
rnacentral:rRNA from 1 species